AUUGAACGCUGGUGGCAGGCUUAACACAUGCAAGUCGAGCGGGGUGAUGGUGCUUGCACUAUCACUUAGCGGCGGACGGGUGAGUAAUGCUUAGGAAUCUGCCUAUUAGUGGGGGACAACAUCUCGAAAGGGAUGCUAAUACCGCAUACGUCCUACGGGAGAAAGCAGGGGAUCACUUGUGACCUUGCGCUAAUAGAUGAGCCUAAGUCGGAUUAGCUAGUUGGUGGGGUAAAGGCCUACCAAGGCGACGAUCUGUAGCGGGUCUGAGAGGAUGAUCCGCACACUGGGACUGAGACACGGCCCAGACUCCUACGGGAGGCAGCAGUGGGGAAUAUUGGACAAUGGGGGGAACCCUGAUCCAGCCAUGCCGCGUGUGUGAAGAAGGCCUUAUGGUUGUAAAGCACUUUAAGCGAGGAGGAGGCUCUUUUGGUUAAUACCCAAGAUGAGUGGACGUUACUCGCAGAAUAAGCACCGGCUAACUCUGUGCCAGCAGCCGCGGUAA
rnacentral:rRNA from 1 species